GGGUUGAUUCGAAUGGGUUGACACCUGCUGGCUUAGGCAGGCAUCCCUUUCCUCCCUCACUGCUCCAUGUGGAUCUCUCCUGAAGCUGCGUGCUGGGUGGAAGAGGAGAAUCUUCUCUGAUAGAGGACAACGGUUCUGUGGUCAAGUGUAUACCACUC
rnacentral:snRNA from 2 species